AUUGAACGCUGGCGGCAGGCCUAAAACAUGCAAGUCGAGCGAGCGGCGGACGGGUGAGUAAUGUCUGGGGAUCUGCCAGCUAGUGGGGGAUAAAUACUGGAAACGGUGGCUAAUACCGCAUACUAUCCGAUGGACCCAUAUGGGAUUCGCUAGGUGGUGGGGUAAAGGCUCACCUAGGCGACGAUCUCUAGCUGGUCUGAGAGGAGGACCAGCCACACUGGAACUGAGACACGGCCCAGACUCCUACGGGAGGCAGCAGUGGGGAAUAUUGCACAAUGGGCGCAAGCCUGAUGCAGCCAUGCCGCGUGUAUGAAGAAGGCCUUCGGGUUGUAAAGUACUUUCAGCGGGGAGGCGUUACCCGCAGAAGAAUCACCGGCUAACUCCGUGCCAGCAGCCGCGGUAAUAC
rnacentral:rRNA from 1 species